CGCCAAUGGAUACACCCAAGUAUUGGCUUGCAUUUAUGGUAUCUGUUCCGCCUUUUGGUUUCAACACUUACAAAAUCUCAGGUUCCAAAAGUGGAGGUGCUCAUUCAACCAAAUCAUCUGCAUACACAUUUCAAAGAAGUGAGCAAUCUACUAUAGAAGUUGGUCGAGGAAAUUUGAAGCUUGCUUUUUCAGCAGACAAAAGCAAACACACCAAUUAUAUUAAUAGCAGAAGCUCAGUUGA
rnacentral:misc_RNA from 1 species